AUAUGCUCUGGCUACCGUAUUUCCAGAGUACUAAAGAAGAGGCGCCGAGUACCAAUUUUGGUCGAUAUUUCCAACGUUGAGCAAUAAUUGUCAUCAUUGCCUCAUAUAAACCGGUCACCAAAUGCGUUCGGCGUUAUAAGUACUGUAUUAACUCAAAUAUUGAUACGUUCUCAAUGCUAAGGAAACUGCUUCAUCCAACGAACGAGUGUGACCCCCUGAAAACCACGUUGAUUCUGCACCCUGAUACCCCCCCCCCCCCCAGAAUAAUGCAGCUACUAUAUGUCGUUUCAGCUAACUUAUGUCGCCUCGAUUUAACUUGCUUCUGGAUCGGUAACACGACAACUGGCUGGUUUUAAACUCGAACCUUCGACCUCACGCUCAGUAGGCGAAUUAACGCCCCUUCUAUGCUACAUAGAAAAUGUUCUAUGAACAUAAAGU